UCGCCUGUGCAGUAUUGUCAACUCCCCGAUAGAACUGAAAAUGGACACCUGGAAGAUGUAUUAUUGCAACUGACGGACAACAGUUUCUCUUAAAAUAAACUAGCUCGAUUAAAGCUCCGUAGAUUUUGUGCUUUUCAGGGAUGGAAGAAGACAAAGACCCAGUUCUUACUGUCAUCAAGUGGGAAGAUUUUAUAGAAGACUUCAUCAAGGAUAUAGACUAUAUUCAAGGACUAUGACUUCACAGACUAUGUGACAGACUAUGUGACAAUGAGACAAGUGUUGAAACUUUCCUCACGCUAUAAAGCUCAGCUACCAAAACAAGCCUCUGCAUCCACAAGUCUUCUUCCUUUCAGUUUGAUCCACUCAAGUGCAAGACUCAGAAGUUUUAUACUCGCUCCUUUGUCUUCUGCAGGUCUACCAGUCCACGUAUCAGCGAUAAGAGAGUGCUUUUUACACACAGUGGCAUGAAGAUACUGGAAAGCCAGAAAGCUGAACACCUAUUUCACAAUUAGCUUGCGGCUGCAGAAAGCACACACCAAACACAGCCCAUGUUGCCAGUCUGAUAAAGUACAUUCUGCUCAUCCACAGAUCAUCCAGUGGAUAGACCACCUUGUGGCACAGGUUGUUGCAAGCAUCAGAGAUGUGCAAGCAGUCCUCAAAUGCUAUGUUCAAACAAGAAUGUCUGAUAUUGUUGCUCCUGAUUGGCAAGACAGGGCAUAUUAUCCAAAGCUCUAGGACAUAGCUAAUCACAUCUACAAAUCAAAAGUGAAAUAGUGCAUCUCAAAGUUGGACCUUGAACCAUUUGGUAGAGAAGAAGAGGUACAUUCAGCAGGUGGACAGCAGGAAACAGUGUUGAUGACACUCCUCCAUCACCUAUUCCACACCUGCAGCUAAAUGAGCCAAACAGCAACCCUGUAGAAACAAUACCAAGACACGAUGUAACAGGCUAUCCAGGUGAAGCUGUCUGCACAGAGAGAACAGAACUACACAAAGAUCUAAAUGCCAUAAGGAGGUCCUCCAACAAGUGCACAGAUGUGGCCAAACUGGCUGAUCUUAAGGCUGGGAUCAAGGCAUUCCAUGACAAGUUUAAGACCUCCUUAAAGAGACCGUCGUUAUCACCGUCAGUGUCUGUGCACACACAAACACCGAAGCGUAAAAAACAAGACACCAAAACAACUGCCACCUACACAAACAGUAAGAAGAGACAACAGAGACCAUGCAUACUGAAACAAGCAUUGGGACCAGGCGAACUCUGCAAGACUGAAAUCCCAGUAAAUGAGUUAAUUAACUUAAAAGAGUUGUUUGUCUUUGUAGAACCACACCUUCUCUGAGAUGAGGUCAUACUGUAUAUUUUAUAACUGUAGUUCCUUGUACUUUAGAGCAACAGUUAAAAAUUUUGGGAAAUAGGCUCAUUUCCUUUCUUGUCAAGGGUUAGAUGAGAAGAUUGAUACCACUCACAUGUCUGUACAGUAAAUAUGAAGCUGCAGCCAGCAAUGUGGCUUAGCUUAUCUUAAUAUAAAGACUGGAAAAGGGGGGAAACAGCCAACCCAGCUCUGUCCAAGGGUAACUAAAUCUGCCUACCAGCACCUCUUAAACUCACUAAUUAAGAAUAAACAGGCUGUUAAAGUUGGAGUUUUUUACAGGGGUAUACAUGCUAAUUACUUCUUGGCUGGGCGCAGUAAAUUCAAGGUAUCCAGCAAACAAAGAAAUAGCCAAGCACAUAACCCUUUGUAAAACCACAACUUGUCUCUUUUACACUUUGGUUUUUG